AGGGUGUAAACGCUGCAGACUUGGUGUUGGAAGCCCUUUGGGGGCAUUCAGUGCCGGAGAGAAGUUGUUAAGUCUGCUACUUGGGGAGUACGUCCGCAAGGAUGAAACUUAAAGGGAUUGGCGGGGGAGCACCGCAACGGGAGGAGCGUGCGGUUUAAUUGGAUUCAACACCGUAAAACUCACCAGGGAAGACUGUUACAUGAAGGCCGAGAUGAAGACUCUGCUAGAUUUUCAGAGAGGUGGUGCAUGGCGUCAGUGACU
rnacentral:rRNA from 1 species